rnacentral:misc_RNA from 1 species
GAUGAAGAACGUAGCGAAAUGCGAUAAGUAGUGUGAAUUGCAGAAUUCAGUGAAUCAUCGAAUCUUUGAACGCACAUUGCGCCCGCCAGUAUUCUGGCGGGCAUGCCUGUUCGAGCGUCAUUUCAACCAUCAAGCCCUGCUUGCGUUGGGUCCUGCGGCUGCCCGCAGGCCCUGAAAACCAGUGGCGGGCUCGCUAGUCACACCGAGCGCAGUAAUACAUCUCGCUUUGGGCGUGCGGCGGGUUCUUGCCGUUAAACACCCCCUUUUUACCAAGGUUGACCUCGGAUCAGGUAGGAAUACCCGCUGAACUUAAGCAUAUCAAUAAGCGGAGGA